AAUGCUCGUUCCUAUUAUCCGGGUCGGCAACUACUGAAUUUAACAGUGAACUCUCGGCGGAUCUCUCGAUGCUGAGAGUAGUUCUAAACCCAAUUCUUUUUUGAAUUCUUCUUCCUUUAUAAGAAACAUGGAAAUAACUCAACCUAACGAAUCUCUUUCCCUUAGUCUCGAGAAAGCUUCGUCCCCAAAGUUUUAAUCUUUGUGAAGCAGCUCUCAAAGGAAAGAUUCAACAUCAUCCAUGCUGCAAGAACUUUGAAUUUUGCAGAUGCUCACAUAGCUUUUACAAGAGGAUCAGAGGAUUCAAUCAAAAGGCAUUUCCACUCCGAUAUAGAAAGUUUCUAUUGUAUUUCUGAAUUGCACCAAGAUUGAAUCAUUGAAUUAUUCUCAGCAUGGUAUAUAUCCUUGGAGGAGUUGCAGGAGAUCCAACAAAGUCACUUCUUUCAAGCUUGGAAACUUGUGGGGAAGAGGGAUUAUUGUGAAUUACAAACAGUAAAGGAUGUUUAGUUUUUCUUUGGUAUCAUCAUAGCAUAGAUUGGCUCCAUGUGACAAAGGUGAACCAUUUUCAAAGGCAAAACUGCUUUCAAAAGCAAAGGUUUGAGCAA